UACGGAGGGGGCUAGCGUUAUUCGGAAUUAUUGGGCGUAAAGGGCGUGUAGGCGGCUUCGCAAGUCUCGUGUGAAAGCCCUCGGCUCAACCGAGGAAUUGCACGAGAAACUGCGUGGCUAGAGUCCGGGAGAGGAUAGUGGAAUUCCCAGUGUAGCGGUGAAAUGCGUAGAUAUUGGGAGGAACACCGGUGGCGAAGGCGGCUAUCUGGACCGGUACUGACGCUGAUACGCGAAAGCCAGGGGAGCAAACGGG
rnacentral:rRNA from 1 species